AGGGACUUACAUGUGAAACAAGCUUGUUCCCUAACUAGAACUAAUAAAUAAAUUUAAUAAAAGAAAAAAAAAGAAGAAAAAAUGGAGCAAGAUCAGUGCUGCAAAUAAGGGACAAGCGGAUAGUUUAUGCUUCCAGUGAGAGCAGCAGUUGAAGACUGAAUACAAGCAGAAAUGUGACCUUUAUGGCUAAAAUGUAGAGCUGAAGAGGUAGGGAAGAUGAAAGAAUGAAAGACAAGCACCAGCGAGGCAGAGCCAGAAGAUACAAUGUACUGCUAAGGGUAAAAGUAGGCGCCCAAAAGGUGACAUCUGACGAUUCCUCACCUGAGAAAUUCCUGGGGCUAAGAAGACUGUAUUAUACCGAGUACCAAUACUUGCUGGAAGACUGUGUAUGGCUUUCAAUAAUAGCUGCUUGUGUUAAUUUCCAGAUGAAAUAAAUUUUUAAUCUCAGAAGAAAGUGUUUGAACUUGGAUUAAGUUGGGCCUCUGGAUUGUCAAUGGCUUGAGCUCCAACGGUCAUCACCAUGUUGAACAUUUUACUUCUAGUCCUCAGAAUGUGACCACAUUUGAACACGGUAUCUUCACAGAAGCGUCCCAGCGACCAUGGGACUAAUGUACUAUAACUGUUACUCAUACACAAAGAGGAAACUGGGACACAUUCCAAUUACAGAAAGAAAAAAAAAAAGAGGAAACUGGACAGCUACACACACAGGGAACAUCACGCCAGCACCCACCACAGCCCAUACCUGAUCAAUAGUCCCCCAGGCCCAAGGCCUCUGUGUGAUACGACCUGGAGACUGUAGGAACGCAGAGCUAGCUGGAAGCCUUUGCUUUCAUGUGGAGCCGUGGCCGUUUCCAAAUCACUGGGCCUCCAGGGGCAGCUAAGCCUCCUGUGACCUAAAAGAAAAAUCAAUUUUCUGAGAGCUAAUUUACUAAAAGCUAUUCUCCAAAUGACCACACUGAAUUAUUGAGGAACUGAGAUGAGUUUCAGUUUCUUUCUUGACCCUGCCUGUGUGAGUAGAUGGUUCCUGAAUGGGGGCUCCACAGUCUAUGCUUUUCUGGCCCCUGGUGUUGAAUCUGACCAGUGCUCUCUCCUUGCCCAGCCCCUCUGCUGCCGUUUUGACAGAAAUUGGCCUAUUUUCCUUUAAAAACAGUCUGUCAACUAUACAUCUGUAGACAUGCAAUUGCUGGUCUGUAGCAGUUAGGACCAUUGCUAGUUGCAAGCCACGGAAACCCCACUAGCGGUGCUGGGAGUCUAAGGAGAGCUGUCCAAGCUUGGGCUGUGUCAGCUUUGUGAUGUGCUAUUGUCUGCCUUGGUUUUAUCCUCGGGCUGAGAAAUGGCUACUGUACCUCCAAACAUCACAGCAACCUUUCAGCUAGGAUUCAGAGAGAAGGAUAAAGAGCUAUUUCCUUUAUCAGAUAAACUGUAACUUUUCAAAAUUCACACCUUGCUGAGUUCUUAGUAUCUGUCCUUAGCGGCUGGCCGCUGGCCAUAUUGCUAUUCCACACAGCUUCCCAGGGAUCUGCUGCUGUGUGUCAGAGAGAGCAAUUAGGGUGUGAGAACCAUCCUCGGCCUGAUUCAAUGUUUUAUCUAAAACUGAAGCUUUGUUUCCUGGGGAGGAAAUGAGGGUUUUUAAGAAGCUAAACUCCUACAGAUCAGUUGGGGUCAUAACCCAUUGUGAUUCUGUCCCUAUCUACUCAACAGUUGAUCUGACCUGCAAAAACACAACAUGGAGAGAGAAGCUAUUGACUGUAGAAAGCGUGAAGUCUAGAGUGUUUUGGAGCAUGGGAGGGAUGAGAGCCAGUUAUGCUGGGACUGGAAGUUAGGACAAAGAGGAAAUCCCAGUGGGUAGAAGAUCACUGAGCAGCCAGGCACCUUCUCUAAUGCCUCUCUCCCUCUCUGUGCCAUCCCCCCUCUUCCCUGAGGGGGAGCAGUCUCCGUCACAUACUCACACAGCCAUGAUGGCCGCCACCCUGGACCCAGAAUCCAGACUGAUGUCUCUGAAACUGUGAGCCAAUGGGUCUUUCUCCUUUACCCUGUUCUGUCAUGACUUUAUUGCCUUUGUUUAAAAAUAGCUAACGUGUGUAUGUUACACCAACAUCUCAGACAAACUUGAGACGUUCCAAGGUGAACUUGAAGACGAAGGCCAGUUACGCGUGGGGAAUCCUACCUGCUGUACUUGCUCAUAAUACAGAGUAUCCCAAGACAUGAGGUCUCAUGGCUUCCAACCCUACCCGUAAGAAGAGCAGAGCAGGGGUGUCCAAGUGAAGACACUCCAUUCCGGCACUGAAAGAAAAUGUCCCCGCAUCUGUCAGGCCAGAGUGUGGUAGUUUGAAUGUACUGGGUGGCACCAUCAGGAGGCAUGACCUUGUUAGAGGAAGUACAUCACUGUUGGGCAGGCUUUGAGGUUUCCUAUGCUCAGGAUACCUCCCAGUGAGUCAGUCGACUUCCUGUUGCCUGCAAGAUGUAGGACACUCGGCUAUUUCUCCAGCACCAUGUCUGCCUGCAUGCUGCCAUGCUCGCACCAUGAUGGACUGGACCUCUGAAACUGAAGCA
ensembl:lncRNA